rnacentral:rRNA from 1 species
GACGAACGCUGGCGGCGUGCUUAACACAUGCAAGUCGAACGGAAAGGCCUUGCUUUUGUGGGGUGCUCGAGUGGCGAACGGGUGAGUAACACUUGAGUAACCUGCCCUUGACUUUGGGAUAACUUCAGGAAACUGGGUCUAAUACCGGAUAGGAGCUCCUGCUGCAUGGUGGGGGUGGGAAAGUUUCGGCGGUUGGGGAUGGACUCGCGGCUUAUCAGCUUGUUGGUUGGGUAGUGGCUUACCAAGGCUUUGACGGGUAGCAGACCUGCGAGGGUGACCGGCCACACUGGGACUGAGAUGCGGCCCAGACUCCUACGGGAGGCAGCAGUGGAGAAUAUUGCACAAGGGGCGGAAGCCUGAUGCAGCAACGCAGCGCGCGGGAUGACGGCCAGCGGGUUGUAAUCCGCUUUCGCCUGUGACGAAGCGUGAGUGACGGUAAUGGGUAAAGAAGCACCGGCUAACUACGUG